AGAUUGAACGCUGGCGGCAGGCUUAACACAUGCAAGUCGAGCGGUAGCAGGCCUUCGGGUGCUGACGAGCGGCGGACGGGUGAGUAAUACAUAGGAAUCUGCCUGGUAGUGGGGGAUAGCCCGGGGAAACCCGAUUAAUACCGCAUACGCCCUACGGGGGAAAGGAUGGGAUCUUCGGACCAUUCGCUAUCAGAUGAGCCUAUGUCGGAUUAGCUAGUUGGUGGGUAAAGCCUACCAAGCGACGAUCCGUAACUGGUCUGAGAGGAUGAUCAGUCACACUGGAACUGAGACACGGUCCAGACUCCUACGGAGGCAGCAGUGGGAAUAUUGGACAAUGGGGCAACCCUGAUCCAGCCAUGCCGCGUGUAUGAAGAAGGCCUUCGGUUAGUAAGUAUUCAGUGGUGAGGAAGGUGAGUCGUUAAGUAGACGCUACACAUUGACGUUAGCCGUACAAGAAGAAGACACCGGACAAAC
rnacentral:rRNA from 1 species